GACGAAGGAUGCAAGCGUUAUCCGGAUUCACUGGGUUUAAAGGGUGCGUAGGAGGGCAGGUAAGUCAGUGGUGAAAUCCCCGAGCUUAACUUGGGAACUGCCGUUGAUACUAUCUGUCUUGAAUGUUGUGGAGGUGAGCGGAAUAUGUCAUGUAGCGGUGAAAUGCUUAGAUAUGACAUAGAACACCAAUUGCGAAGGCAGCUCGCUACACAAUUAUUGACUCUGAGGCACGAAAGCGUGGGGAUCAAACAGG
rnacentral:rRNA from 1 species